CCUACGGGAGGCUGCAGUGGGGAAUAUUGGACAAUGGGCGAAAGCCUGAUCCAGCCAUGCCGCGUGUGUGAAGAAGGCCUUCGGGUUGUAAAGCACUUUCAGUGGGGAAGAAAGCCUUGGGGCUAAUACCCUCGAGGAAGGACAUCACCCACAGAAGAAGCACCGGCUAACUCCGUGCCAGCAGCCGCGGUAAUACGGAGGGUGCGAGCGUUAAUCGGAAUUACUGGGCGUAAAGCGCGCGUAGGCGGUCUGAUAAGCCGGUUGUGAAAGCCCCGGGCUCAACCUGGGAACGGCAUCCGGAACUGUCAGGCUAGAGUGCAGGAGAGGAAGGUAGAAUUCCCGGUGUAGCGGUGAAAUGCGUAGAGAUCGGGAGGAAUACCAGUGGCGAAGGCAGCCUUCUGGACUGACACUGACGCUGAGGUGCGAAAGCGUGGGUAGCAAACAGGAUUAGAUACCCUUGUAGUC
rnacentral:rRNA from 1 species